rnacentral:lncRNA from 1 species
GCACGGCUCUGUCGCAGCUCCAGGCCUGACUCAUCUUCAUGCUCGGCUUGCGUGAGUGAACGCUGCUGGGAGAGGGCUUUUAGGGCGCAAAGCUGAGUCUGCCCAACAUGCCACUUCGUCAGGAUAACACAUCAUCGUGGUCCCGUGGAGAGAGCUCCGGACCCUGCUUCGGGCUUUGGCGGUGUCCAGAGCGAGCUGCGGGAGCCCAGCCACGACGCAGCCAUGCUGUGGGCCUCAGUUUCCCCCUUCCUGCAGAGGUCAAGGCGGUCUCUUCUGUCUAGCCAUAAGCCCUGGGAGACAGUGCGGCACAUAAAACACGCCCCCUCCCAGAGCUUCCAGUCCACUUCCCCACUCCGUGCCCUUGGAGCUCACGAAUUCUUGUCUUCUGUGGGCAGUGAACACGGAAAUCUGCAGGGAGUUUGAAUGAACUCGUGGAUGAGGUAGGGGAUAACGGGGAAGAAAGCGGGACUGCCGGAUGAUCCCAGUAUGCAAGCAUUUCCCAGACGUCUGUGGGAUAGGGGUCCAGGCAUGUCAUUUCUGCUGAUGGAAGCUUCAAAUUGUUUAGGUAUGUCUAAGAAAGUGGGACCCCGGGUGGCUCAGUCGGUUAAGCAGCUGCCUUCAGAUCCGGUCAUGAUCCUGGAGACCCAGGAUCGAGCCCGGCAUCAGGUCUCGGAGCCCUCUCCCCAGAAGCUCACUGCUUUCCAUCAGCUCCUGGAGGGCAGAACUUCCCUGGCACAGGUGUCCGGCCCAGAAGCUUCUGAAGAAAUGGGACAGGAACUGAAGGAGAAGCUCGCUUGCCCGCUGGUCAGGAAUGCACAUCCUUGUGGGACCGCACUGGCUGCCCUUCUCUUUGGGGGGUGGGCUGCCUCUUUAAGAAUAAAAAUGAACUUGGUCAAUUAGCUGAGUAAAAACAACUUUUUCCUUCCAUGCACCCUGUGGCUGAUGCAGAUUCACUCUUCAGUUUCCGGUCCCGCCUGAGGCACACGUGGGUCCAGAAAGUUCUUCCUGGGGGCUGCUGUUGAAGGUCUUGCUCCCAGCCUUUUUUCUUCCUACUCUGGGCCUUCCCCAGCCACUCCUUCUUAGCUCCCUGGACGAAGAAAUCACAUUUUAUAUAGUGCUGACCCUUGCACAACACGGGUUUGAUCUUCAUGGGUCUGCUUGUAUGUGGAUUUUUUUUUUUUUAAUGAAUAC